rnacentral:misc_RNA from 1 species
UACGGAGGGUGCAAGCGUUGUCCGGAAUUAUUGGGCGUAAAGGGUGUGCAGGCGGACCUGCCAGUCAGAGGUGAAAGCCCACGGCUUAACCGUGGAACUGCCUUUGAUACUGCAGGUCUUGAGUCCUGGAGAGGCCACUGGAAUUCGUGGUGUAGCGGUGAAAUGCGUAGAUAUCACGAGGAACACCUGAUGCGUAGGCGGGUGGCUGGGCAGGAACUGACGCUGAGGCACGAAAGCGUGGGGAGCAAACAGG